AUUGAACGCUGGCGGCAGGCCUAACACAUGCAAGUCGAGCGGUAGAGAGGUGCUUACAUCUCUUGAGAGCGGCGGACGGGUGAGUAAUGCCUAGGAAUCUGCCUAGUGGUGGGGAUAACGUUCGGCGGAACGCUAAUACCGCAUACGUCCUACGGGAGAAAGCGGGGGAUCUUCGGACCUCGCGCCAUUAGAUGAGCCUAGGUCGGAUUAGCUAGUUGGUGAGGUAAUGGCUNACCAAGGCGACGAUCCGUAACUGGUCUG
rnacentral:rRNA from 1 species